rnacentral:lncRNA from 1 species
GAAAACCCGGACAAAUCAUAUACAUUCGAGAGCGGACGAAGAAGGCAAAGAACAUGCAGCUGUUCAGAGUUCCUAUUUUCUUACCUUUAAUGGUUUUAACAUGCUGGGCAGUUCUAGAUGGCGUCUAUGGA